UUGUAAUUUUUGCUAUACUUUUUGCACUUGAUCAGGCUCAAUCCGGGAGAUGAGGAACCACCGAAUUGCAUCCCUUCUACUGAAAUGGCUUCUUAUACUUAUACUUUGUCAGAGUCAGACAUCAGCUCUCACUGUGCUUCAGUCAACACGUUUCAAAUCAGCACUACCGGGAGAUAAAGUGAAUUUCGACUGCAGCAUGGCAGCAGGGCUUAGCAUGUCUAGCUAUACCAUGUAUUGGUACAAGCAGGACCGUUAUGGACAACCUAUACAGUUUAUUAUAAAAGAGUACGACACACCAACGAAGAACUAUGAAGCCGUUCUGAGCACAAAAGACAACACGUUUAGCCUGACUGUAUCCAGCCUCGAUGCACAGGACAGUAGCACAUAUUACUGCGCUGCAAGCCACAGUGAAUACAGAACUGUGCAUGCUCUAACAAUAAGCAUGUGAUAUAAUUAACACCUGGGGUUAGAGAAACUCUAAGGAUUUCCUACUUGAGAAGCAUCUCGACUUAAGACACGACUUAAGUCUAUAAUCCAUUGGCUGAGGGGUUCGAUAAAAGUAUCAAUGUGAUAACCUUUUUUUUUUUUUUACAGUCGGAAUUCUCAGUGACAUGAUAAUAACAAGCGAUAUUUAAGUUACACCUAUCUGCAGUGACAAUUCAUCCAUUAUUUUGUAGUCUUAGUGUUAAGUGCAGAGCUUAAGUCUAGUUGGGAGCGAGCCCCUACUAAGGACAGUGAGCCACAACUUAGUUUACCGUUAUUUCUGUUAAGACUGAAUAAGCAGUGAAGGCCAUUUUAGUAAGUCGGAUUAGUUGUAUGGUUCAUGUAACUAAAUAAUUUUAAAUUAGAAGUCAAUUUUUUUAAGACAAACACUUCAGAAAUCAUUACAGUAGGUUGCUAGGAAUUAUAAAGUAAGCAUUUUAUCAGCAUUGGAGAAAGGUGUUUUUUU